UAUCUCCAAAAUUCACGAUAUUUAUUCGAAAAACUUCUUAAUCGAAACAACUAAACCUUCUGAAAACUCUAAAAUUCAGACACUAGCCGAAAUAUCGUAGGUAUAGUUUUAUAAACACCUUUAAAAACGUUUUGAUGAUCGUAUAAUUGACGUUCCAUAAAAGAAGACUACCGACGUUUUAUUUUAUUUUAAUAAAGCUCCUUUUACAUUAUUGCUUUUCAAUAAAACUACACAUAUUCGACUCGGUUUUAAUUCGAAUUUCGUCCGUUUCAUUCUUCAAAAUUUCUAUUUAUCGAGUAUCUAUAUUGUACCAAGUCCUGACUGUAGUAAUUUAUUAUUAUUAUUAUUUUUUUUUUUUAUUCAUAACGAUGUAUAGUAGUCGUAUAUUAUGUACGAAACACAUCAACAACGUUAUAGGAGACAUCCGAAGUAUAGAAGACAUCCGAUCGCUGUAUAUAGUACGAGAGAUAUUACUAUUACAAUUAUUUGUACAAUCGUGAGUUUUCCAUUAGUGUGUGCAGUUCGGAUCGCACUGUCGUGUCGCCGUCACCGUAAUUGAAAUUCGCAUCGCUGCACUUGUGACUUUUAGUAGACCCUUCUCCUUCGCAUUUGCCUUCGAGUAACGUAGUCGUCACGCCACUCUAAACAACUGUACUGCCCUGUUGCAAUAGUGCCGUAGCCGGUGAUUUGACAAAUAGUAUACCACAGUGUGUUACUAGUAUCGAGCGUAAAUUGUUACAAAAAGGAAUUUUUUCUCAAAUUUUUGUUUUUACUUUUUUUCGCGUCAAAAACCACGUGACUAACAUGUUUAGAUAUUUGAAAAUGCUAAAAAAACUACAGACAUCAUGGUUUAAUUUUAUAUUUCAAGUAGUGCAAGGAACGUAUUGGUUUUCUUAUGAUAUAUAUUUUUUUUUAUUUUUUUUUUAUGUAUAAACUACUUUUCUAUCAGAAAUCUUACUCCAAUCAAAGACGUUAUAGGCAAUUUCUCGUAGCGUUUUGGGUGCUAUUGGUGAAUUGAGGAGGUUAUCUUUUUAUUUUCCUAUUAUUUUUUUCAAGAAAGCAGAAAUGCUGAUUAUUUUUGGUAAAAUUACCAAAAUACUCUAUUCCUGGUUACGUUAGCAUAAAAGGAAAAAGUGCGACUAAUAAUAUGUACUGUUCUUAGAAUGGUUUUUGUUAUUAAUAAUUGAUCGUCGCAUACAUAUGUAAAUAAAGUGACUCUAUUUAUCCUCCCUUUCAACAUACAUUUUAAAAUAAUGCCACAAGCAAUGAUAUUUACCCAUUAGCAGUAUCAUCCUUUUUUAAUAUUUUAUUUCAAAAUUCAAAACAUAAAUGGCCCUACUAUGUGUAUUGUUUGCAGUAUGAUAAAAUUGAAAAACUCAACUCGAUUUUACUCUAAGGCCUGCUAAAAUCUCGAUCCAAAAACAAGUGUGCCCGGUAUCGUUACCUAUAUAUUUAUACAAUUUUAUAUUAAAAAUAAUAUGUUAUAAUAUAUAUGUUUGUUCGUUUAUUUUUAUUUAAUAUGUGUACAAAUUUUAUAUAUUGUGUUUUUGUGUGGUUUAAGAUAAAACUUAUCUUAAACGUCCGUAUAUUACAUAUACUCAUUAACUAGUUGACUGCGUCUUAUAUUUCCUUCAUGUUUCCUAAAAAUUAGACGACACAUGAUUAUCAACAAGGGGUAUCUGAGAAGGAAAAAAAAAAUGUUCAUGUUUUUUUCCUAUACAAAUCAUUAAUUUGUCACCAAGUAUAUUCGUGUUUAUCGCAUAUACAUCGUAUUUAUCAUAAAUAAUAUCACAUAUAACGUAUUAUUUCUUAUUACAUACCUAUAUCUUCGACUAAGAUAUUUAGGACUAGCAAUGGAUGGCAGGGAAGGCGUGAGUGCCUGGACCCAAAAAAAUAUUGGUAGACAUGGAAGACAAGGGCUAUUUUUCCUCUAUGAACAUCUGACUUCAGCGCUUUCUUAUUAGGUACUUAUGGAUCUAAUAGGUACUUAAAUAGAGCGUACAUAACUAAAAUAUCCGCUAAGACGGCGCUGGGAGUCAUGAAGAAAAUGCUGCAAUGUCUAUAACUUUUUUCAACGACGAUUUUGAUGUUCCUUCUCAGCCCUGUAUACCUUAGUUCGCGAUCCAUAGUAUUAUUUACGACAGAUCAAUUUUUUUUCAUGGAAAAAACCAAGGCACUCAGACACUCUUUUUUAGCUAACUAAUAAUUUUUGUUCGAGACACAGUCCACUAGUUAGUAGGUCUAUAGUAUACUAUAUUAACAUAAUCGUAGGUAAUAAUAUUUCGCAAGUGUAUGAAAAACAAUUGUGUAUUCGGUAUUUUACUUCUCACGUGUAUAUCUUAUUAAUUAUUAUUAUCAAGUCAAGUCUGAGUCCCCGCACACAUCAGCUGUAUAAUACCAGUACGAGUGCCGCGUAAAAAUUGUUAUCAGAGCCAUAUUAUAAACGUAUAAUGUUAAAUAUAUUAUUGUUAUUUUGAUGCUCUUAUAAUGAUCAAUUUAUUGGUUUUUUUUUUAUUCCUAUUUCUUUGAAAUGAUUAUUCAUAUAAUAAAAUAUAUUAAAAAAUCUAAGGUCGAUGGAAUAUGAAUUAAAAAAGUUAUAAGUCAUAAUUAAUUUAAACUUUCACCUACUUGGCUAAAAACUUUUGAUUUUUCAUCAAGUAACAUUGUUUUUUUUAACACUAACUAAUAAAUAACGAACAAUUCGGAAUUCGUAAUAGUUUCACAUUAAGUCAAUUUCAAUUUAUAUUAAUUUUAAAAUUACGAAAUAUAUAAUCCAUACACUAUAGGUACAACUGUACUUUAUGCACCAUCGUCAUUGUAUUGUAAUAAUAUAGUUUUUAUUAAUUACGUUUCACUCAAUGAUGUGCGUAAUGUUUAAAAUAAUAUGUUCUAAACGUGUACUGUUUUUAUUUUCAAAAACUCUAUCGGUUUAUCCGAUAUUAUAUGGCAAUAACAAUUAAAAAAUAAAACUAAAAAAAGUCAACCAAACUCAAGCAAUAUGUUAAUUCAAUUUUCAAGGUGAUUUUUCACUUGACUCAGUUAAAAUAAUUAUUAUUGUUUUUUAACGCGUUUACUCGUUGCCUUUUUUUUUCGAUUAACUCUAACGUUGCCGAGCCUUGUGGAGGAAAUUAUAAACCUAAUUUAUAUAAAUACUACACCGCGCCGUUGUAGGUCACUCGUAUGAUAAUAUUAUACUCUGUUGUGUGCGUGAGGCAAACGAUUUAAACGAAGCGUAACAUAUUCUAAAAGUACAUAUUAUAAUAUUAUAUAGAAACGAAAAAGUUUGAAAAAAAACCUUAAGCGUACUACACAAAAAAGCUUGCGCAAUCGAAUAUCUAAAAUAAUUUGUUUUCCAGUGUAAAAUAAUUAUUAUUAUACUUGUAAUAUUUGUAUCCGGAUAAAAAAAAAUUAUACACAUAAUAUUAUAUGAAUAAACGAUAUAAUUCACAUAAUACUAUACACGAUGUAUCUGAAGGAUUUGACAAUUCUCUAUAAUGUAACUGCAUUGAACAUUUUCGUGUCCUCCAUAUACACUGUGUAUGUAUAAUAUUAUUUUAGUCGAUUAAAAAAAAAAAAAAGAAAAAAAAAGAACCGUACUCGUAAAAUAUUAUUAUUAGUAUAUACGUGUUAUUUAUUUAAGAUAUUAUUACUAUUGUAUGUGCAUCGUUUGUUUUACUUUACUGUAUUUAUGCUUUCCUAUACCUAUUAAAAUAAUAUUAAAUACGUGAUACCGUUUCGCUGAUAUGUUGUUGUCCUCGUAUAACACGCGUCUUUAGAUUCCAAUAUAUACUCGUAGGUAUGCUUGUUAACGGAUUUGAGGUGGAAAACACGCGACUCCACUUUGGAAUUUUUCUAGAUUUUUAUAUCUAUUUAAAUUAUGUACAGACACACCCAAUGCUGUAACUAUGGUGAAGGGGUCGGUAGUGAAUAUUUGAAUGUAAAAAUUUGAAACUUAUUUUCAGUACUUAAGAUACCAGUUCAUCCCACGUUCCAUGAAACUUAUUUAAAUUUUAGAUCUACUACUGGUAUGCGUUAAUUUCAAUGAAAUUAUGGUAACGAGAAAUAUUUUAGCUUAACGGACUUGGAUUGAAUAAGGAUGGCAUUGUUAUUAUUAUUAUUAUUAUUAUUAUUAUUAUUUAUUUUGAAGUGAAGUGCCAAAAUAAUGCAUAUUCCGAGCCUAUUUUCAAAAUGUUAACGCCCGUGAUAUGCAAUAAAAAACUUAUAAUUCCUUAAACGAAAAUACUAUAUUGAAUACUAUUCGAAUCAUAGGCGCCGACUACAUGAGUGUUCGGGAACCGCUGCCCCCAUUGAGAAGAUUUAGUUUCCCAAACCGUGUUUACGGAAUAAUAUACCUGAGAUUCGAGAACAUUGCUUAUAAUAAAAUUAUAAUGAGUAAAGAUAGAUAGAAUAAAUUUUCUUUAAAUUCAUGUGAUAUUAUUAAAAUAAAAUAAAAGUAAAUGAAUAUUUUUAAUUUAUUUCUUAUUAUAUAAUAUUUAGUACGUAUUUUAUCAUAUUUUACAUAUUUACACCAGUUUAAACUAAGACUUUGAGUGACAAAAAAUCUGAGAGAGAACCAUUAAAAUGAAAAUUGUUGAGCGUUUCCUUGUCAUAUAAUUGUUUAUAACAAAGAAAUUGAAAAGGAGACAGUUAAAAAUUUAGACAUAAGUAGUCCCUUUCCCAUUGUUUGUUUUAUUUUUAAAACGAAUAAAUUCAAAAAUUAAUAAUCUAUAUAUUUAGAAUCAUAAAAGUACGCAUACAUAAUAUUGUACGUUUUAAAUUAAUCGAAAAAUCAAGAAAAAAAAUCGUUUAACAGACAAUUUUUGUGUUAUAGGAAAAAAAAUCUUAAUGUUCAAAGUCAUUUGAGAAAAUAAAUAUGACUAUGCGAAUUAAGUGUUUCCGUUUAAAAAUAAAAUUUAAGUUUUAUCGCGCACGAGUGGGUGUUAAAUUUUGAAGGUAAGUUCGAAAUAAUAAUUUGACGGUUUAUAGAAACCUAGUUGCAGAUGUUACUGAACAAAUAAAAAAUUCCAUUUAAAUUUAAAGUCCACUGUGCUGAUAUAUUAUCGUGUUAUACCGUUUGAGUGCACACGCAUUGUAUAAUUUUAUAUUAAUGUAUAUUAGCCAUGUUUUUUUUUUUUUUUCAAUCGAUUAACGCGUAUAAAAAUGUACGGGAACGCAUAACAAUUGUUAUCAUGUGUUGUGAAUACCUAUACCUAU
rnacentral:lncRNA from 1 species